rnacentral:rRNA from 1 species
UACGUAGGGUGCAAGCGUUGUCCGGAAUUAUUGGGCGUAAAGAGCUCGUAGGCGGUUUGUCACGUCUGCUGUGAAAUUUCGAGGCUCAACCUCGAACUUGCAGUGGGUACGGGCAGGCUAGAGUGCGGUAGGGGAGAUGGGAAUUCCUGGUGUAGCGGUGGAAUGCGCAGAUAUCAGGAGGAACACCAAUGGCGAAGGCACAUCUCUGGGCCGUAACUGACGCUGAGGAGAGAAAGCGUGGGGAGCAAACAGG